UACAAGCGUUGGCGGGCCACGGUGAAGAGCCAAGAGCGAGGGAAGGCCGGUGUUAUGCAGCGCGUCUGCGCUAGUGUCGGAGGGGCGUGGUGGCUAUGGAAUCGCGGCGGAGCAGGAGCGGGAGCGGGAGCGGCGUGGAGGCGCUCUGCCCUGGGGCGGUACGGCUAGAGUAGGAGGGAGAGGCGCGCGGAGCCGGGGCCAGAGCGCCGGCGCGGGCGUGCCACCUCGGGAAUGCGGGCAGGGAGGCUUGGGGCGUCCCCGCCGCGACCUUCGCCGACGCGGUUCCGGAGGGCGGGCGGGGAGGCGGAGCUUGGGCGCUGCCGCUCUGAGGAGCCGGGGCGCGCCUCCCGGCUUAGGGCGCCUAGCUCAGCGCCGCGGCGCAAGCCGCGGCGUCGGGGAUGUGGACGUGCUGCCGACAAACCUCUAGACUUCUUCAGCCUGGUCUUCUGCCUAGGGUUCGGCCGCCCGUGCUUAGGUCUCGGUUAGGUCCUCAGCGCGCAGCUCCUCUCGGCACCGACGCCGCCAAAGCGAAAGGAGACGCGGGAGCGACCUGUGUUCCUCCACGCACUGACAAAGGGACGCUGGGACGGGGAGAAGCUUUAGCUAACAGCAUUGCGGCGCGACAAGACUAACCUAUGAGUCUAUGAACACGCAGUUUUAAUCGUUCGGGCGUAAAUGAAACGUUAACGUUUAUUAAACAUUAACGAACCUAUUAAUCGUUGGGGCAACGCUGAAACAUUAACGUUUAUUAAACAUUAAACAUUAAUCGUUGGGGCCAAGCUGUUCGAGAUGAGACAGUCACGGCUACCGAGACAAGCGCAUACCCUGCCGUUGAGACCGUUCCAUCGACCCGAUAGGCGAGAGCCCUAAGGGGAGUCUGAGAAAUACGAGCCAAGUGGAAACCCCAGCACAGACGCAACUAAGGACGUAACGGAGACCACCAACUAAAGACGACGGACUAGUUAAACCCUCAUUGAGACCAACGAACUCCACCAGCUACACGGCUACCCGAGUUUAUCACGUAGCGGAUACUACCAACUACACACGACUGACGAACUAGUUAACCCCUCGAGAGAGUAAGGAGUCACGCAGACUACAUGAACAACUAAGUCUAGUCCAACAGUAAACCGUGCGGACCCCAACUGCUGUACAGUCUAACUAAACGGAACCUCCGAAAAGCGGACGAACACCAUUAGUCACAGGUGGCCUAGUCAGAGUCCUCCACUAGUCCGACCAACUGACUGUUCGUUUCGAGAGACCCCAAUUUCAACAUGAGAGUAACGGUCUACCGGUACGUAAAUUAUCGUUCUUUCUUUUUCUCAUUUUUUUUACUUUUCUCUCUACUCGAAAUUCCUCUCUUCCAAGAAGUUCUUUUACCUCUUUGAAAUACUUUUCUAACGACACAUUAUCUCUUUUUUUCCUCUCUCAAAGAUUAGAUGAUAAAACGGGAAAGAUAAGAAUUACAAAGACGUUAUCACGCAACUACAGUAGUUCUAUCCUCCCUUCUAACCAACAUACUAGUGAGUACUGUUCACCCAUAAAUAACCUUAGGGUUUUAGGCACCUCCGUACCUUGUAUGUCUGUCCCUACUUCGAUUCAGAAGUCCCUGGAAGACCCGAACAAACAAGGUACUGAUAGUUCCUACUCUACGACAAACGACCGUGCCGCCUACCGGCGUAGUACCGAACCUUUAAAGGACGAUUCCUCUAGUUGAACCUUGGCCACCGUUAGGAGCGACCGGUGCUGGCAGUACACUAAAGUGAACGACCGAGUCGUUUAUCCGAAAUGAGACCAAGUGAACUGUUCUGUUAGUCUCAUACCCUGGAAUUUUUAGAAGUCACACAGGUUUCAGGUUUGUGAGAGACUCGUAUUUCGACGACAAUGAAGACACGAAACAACCCUAGUCUUCAAUGAUAGAACGAGAGACCUAUUCUGGCAUUUCCAGACCCGACGAAGUCUUAGACCUUUGGAAGUUGAGUACGUAUGGGUAAGGCUCCUCGUACAUUCAAGACGUCUGAAUUAGAUGUACCUAUAAAGGUAGUCGCAAUAAAAGACUUUUGAAGUAACUUUUAAGCUUGUACUUUCUAACAUAAUCGACGUUGAAACACAAAAAUAGUCACUAUCAUACUAUAACAGGAAUUGAUCAGACUAACUUGUCACAUUUGACAUACACAACUUAUAAAUACCGAAUACAUAAAGAAGUCCCCGUCAUUGUAUCUACUAUAAUUCCGAUUAAAAUCAUGAUCCAAUCCAUUUAUAAAGCACCACUACUCAUCCGAUUAGAAAUCGGUCUCUUCUACGUGCUAAUACACGUUUUAGUACCCACAUCGAAUCCAUAGUCAGCUGACUCUAUAUUAGUUCAGAGUCAGUUCACUGUAUUGUAAGUUCUCCCUUUUUCUUUUUUUGACUUUUCUUUUAAAACGUGCCUAGAGUUACAUCAUAGAGUGCCUAUAUCGUAGCUGACUCUGAAUUGCUUCAGAGUCAGCUGACUCUGAAUCGUUCUGACAAUGACUUAACGUGAACGAUGUAUAUUGAUACAACAGCAUGAAAACAAAAAGAAAUAAAGCAAAUUAAAAAACGAACUAUACACGAUCACCUAACUCGUCGAAGAUAGACAAGAGUGACUAGGCUGUUAAGUUGGAUCAGUGUUAAUGAACAGAUUUUAGUUCACCUUCUAGAAACGUCGAUGAACUAUACACAAUGACCUAAUUCGUCGAAGAUAGACAAGAGUUCACUAGGAUGUUAAGGUCAUCAGUGUCAUUGAACAGAUUUUAGUUUACCUUCUAGAAAAGAGUAUCAAUAAUAGCGACCUAGUUAGAAGACUACAAUAACGGCAGCCACGUACUUCCAGAGGUAAAGACCUUCAACACUGAGGUAGACGUAAGCCAGUUCGUAAUAUCAAACGUGUCAUACCGGAAACAAUGUACAAACCGUGCAUCAGCCACAAGAAGGAUCAUACGACCCUUAAAUAGACGACGAUAACUCAUCGUCUAUUUCCCAAACUCGGAUUAUCUUCGAGACAAAGAACCCUUGAAAUCUACCGACGGUAGUCGGGUAGUCAGACGACUCGAGUAGACAAAGGGACUUCUCAAUCAUACCCUCAUAGUCUAUCUGUACAUAGUCGUUGCAGUAACUCGAGUAGACAAAGGGACUGACUUCUCAAUCGUUCCCUCAUGGUUUAUUUUUACAUGGCCGUUGCAGUCUUAACAAUCCUUGGCAGUAUGUCGUCCUUGAUCUACGUUGUGGUCUCGUUAAACAAGAAGCUUUCAGACUUACAGGGAUACAGGCCAAUAACCGAAAGAGUUAUAAAGGGAAGGACCUUCGUACAAACAGUCACAUGCAAGCAUUCGAGACAACUCUACAUCACGUACUACGAUAACAGGAACUAUUUGAAAGACGAAACAAUACCAAGAACCCGUUACCCUCAUGCGUGGGAGAAACCGUACGUAGCAGGCCCUUUCUGCGGCCAAGACGAGACGAGGGAGGUGUUCUCGUUGACGCAGGCGAACAACCCGGACGGUAGCAAGCUCCUCUAACCGUGCGAGAGGAGGUUUUGUCUUCACUUCUGGUAGCUUGAGCGGGUUCCUGGUAGCUCCGAAGAAAAGUGACCUCUGCCGCGCCCGCUCGAGUUCCACACCUACACCCGCGGGGCCCUGCUCCUAUUCCUCAGGGGGUUGUGGCCGCGACAGUAUCUGCAGUCGAUCUGUACGUAUCAGCUAGUACGAGUACGUACGCGACUCGACUCGAUCGAGGUGGCGACAUUACAGACAUUUAAUAAUACGGUAGGUUCAUUUUAUUGUUCAGCAGUAAAGGGGUACGUGCCAGAACCUUCGGACUGCUCCUCAUUAGGUAGCUAGGUUAAGGGUUGCGGCGGCGCGGUAUUUGAUGGUGCCGGGCGAACUCAACGCACGGUAGGUA
rnacentral:rRNA from 1 species